rnacentral:rRNA from 1 species
UACGAGUGGUGCAAGCGUUAUUCGGAAUCAUUGGGCGUAAAGGGUGUGUAGGCGGCAAAUCAAGUCUGUUGUUAAAUUUCUCGGCCUAACCGGGAUGAUGCGGUGGAUACUGAUUUGAUAGAGGAUGGAAGAGAGAAGUGGAAUUCUCGGAGUAGCGGUAAAAUGCGUAGAUAUCGAGAGGAACACCGAUGGCGAAGGCAGCUUCUUGGUCCAUAACUGACGCUGAAACACGAAAGCGUGGGGAGCAAACAGG